CUAAGUUUUCAAUUGAGUUUGCGCUUUAAUACCUUGUUGAGCUUUUUUGCAGAUUUUUGUGGAACAGCACAGAUAUGAUGUUCAAUCUUCUAUAUGAACAUAAAGUUAUCAUUAACCUAUACAUUGCCGAGCGAGGUUUGGUAGACUUUCUAACAGCAAACGAAUGGGAGCAGAACUUUACCAUCAACUUAUCACGCUAAAAGUGCCCAUAAUAAUAACCUUUGGGACUCCCACGACUACGAUAUGCUAACGCAAGAGGGAGAAUUGGCAACAAGUGUUGCAAGUGAAGAGUUGAAAAUGGAAAAUAAACUUCUUUUUCUAUAUUAUAACAUAAAAUUAAUUAAUUUUGAUCAUUAAAUGUGCAUAUACAUAUAGUAUGAACUGAAUUUUUUUACGUUAACUUAAGUAUUGUUCUAAUCAAUCAUCAUUAUUUCAAAAUAUAUGGUUACUAGAUACAUAUUAAAGAAUUGAAAAUACAUACAUAUAUACAUGUGAAUCUAGUCAACAGAAGUUACUACUAUGAGUACAAAUUUCCAUUCAUAAGUUAAUAUGUAUUUGCAUAAAUAUUGAUUUUGUAAUGUUAUUUGUUUACUAAAUACAUGUGUUUAUGUAUUAAUAUUCAGGUAUUUUUUAUGAAAUUUGAAUCGGCAUCGGCCGUUUCUUUGCUUUCUGGCCGAUUAAUCGGCAUCGGGCAAAAAUUUGGUAUCGGACACUACUAACAAUAGCAAAUUGCAACAAACAAAUUUACAUAAUACAUGUUUUAAUGUAUUAUAUGUACAUACAUAAAACUUUAUGCAAAGUAUAUAUGUAAAUAAAACUGGAUAUAAACUUCUAAAUAAAUUAUAUUGGAAAUUAUAUAUCUCAAUUAUUGAUCGUAUAUACUGAAACCAACUUAAUUCAAGACCGAAAAUCGUGAUACUAGCCUGAUUUCUUUCGCAAUUAAUUAAUCCAUCGGAAUUUACACCAAAAAACUAAUAUCUGAACAAUAUUUCCUCAACAAACCUUCAAAAAGAAGUAGUAUAAAACAUGAGGACUUCCUCGAAAUCCGACUAGUCUAAAAGCUCGAUAACAAUAUCCUAAAAUAUGUAUGUACGUAUAAACGGUUCGAAAUAAUAUCGAGACAUUUUCUUCCGAAUAUUGCUUAAAAACCAGAAGUUUAAACUUUGUUAAGUAAAUCGGUUUAUAUUAAAUAAUAUAUCUUGCAAUUUGAAUCUAUACCCAGCAAGUCAUGGGUACUGAAACUCCAACACAUUCAAAGAAAUUUUAAUAACACCACUACAUACACACAUACACAACAAAGGGUAAAAUGUGCAUAAACAUUUAACUCAACUCUUCUCUCAUACAGCACCCUGAAUGAUAGAAAGAAACAACCAAAGUUCUCGUGUUUGAACAAGUUUUGUUUUGAGCUAUAUCAUGGCUGCUUGUGAAGUAUUAUUUUGCGUGUUUUAUUUAAUUCAGUGAUCUGCAGCCCAAUUAAAGUUUAAAUUUUUGAAGCACGCAUUUUUAAAUAAGUAAAACGUAAAAUAAAAGUUUUCUAAAGCCAAAAUAUGGAAUUGAAGAGGGUGAUACAGAAAUACUUCAUUGCACUGUCAAUUCGAAGCACGCAAUAGAAGCUACGCCAACAAUGGUCAACAUCAAUGGCGAAACAAUUUAAUACAUAUUUCAAACCUCAUAUGGUGCGUUAAAGGUACGCAAACUUAUUGGUGUCACUUAUUGUAGCAGCGUAGAACUUUCGAAGCGAUGGAAUAUGUGCUGCAAGCAAAUCCAAAACUAUCGACGCAAACGCUGCUACAUGGAACACAAAUCAUUCACACACCAGAUAUUACGUUUAAUGUCACUUUUUUGCGUGCAAUUAAACCUUUUGGUCAACACAAGCACGAGAAUUAUAACGACAUGGCGUAUGUCAACUGGGUUUUGCCAAUGAGCUAGAGGGCAAAGCAGUUUCAGUAUCUUUGAGCUUACCGGCACUUGGCCGUGCCAUUAGCAGCUAAAACACAGAAAUUAAAGGGAGGACUUUUUUGAUUCAUUUUCACCUUGUAUUGAGGAACCAUAACGUUGUUGUAUCGCUUUACAAGGACAUAAAUUCACCGAAAUUAGUUCAAUGGAAAUACUACAGCAAGAGCAUGGAUGUUAAGUCUUGAACGGUGCCGUGUUAGAUUUAGAAUUCCUGAAACAUAAGAAACCCUCCUCCCAGAUGAAUCUAGUACUAGUGAAAUUAAUGAAAGAACAGAUCUUAUAAAAACUCCGAAAGAAACCAAAAGAGUCCUCACAUAAUGUGCGCAGCUUACACUUCCAGACCGCACGGAGUAUUUGACAUUUUCCACUCUUCCUCCAGCCUUUGUCCGAUAGCAAAAAUUGUUCAAAUAUUCAUUUUCACCUACUUUAUACAUAUGUAUAUAGUGUAGUACGAUAAUAUAUGUAUAAAGUAAAUAUAAUAAUAAACAACUAAAUGGCAUGAUAUUUUCAAUAAAUAUGUAAUAUAAUUAAUGAUUUUGU